UGAAUUUGUAGUUUAAUUAGGUUAAAAUAUUAUUUUGUCAUAAUAAAGAAUACGAGUUCAAUUCUCGUCAGAUUCGU
rnacentral:tRNA from 3 species